GAAAGCGAUAUGAGAUUUGGAUAUAUUAAUUAUUUGACCUAAAAAUGAAUAAUAAGCUUCAAGGAUUAGUUUCAAAUAUAUACUAUACCGUUUGGUUGCUCUGACUUUCAAUAGACAAUCAUCUGCAAAAAAGAUAUGAGAUAUGCUAGGAGUCAUCAUGUCCGGUCUAUAAGCCUCGAUUCUAUUGCAUUUCACUAUAAGUUGCAAAGCAUGAGAUAACAUUUUAAAAGGAAGAAUAAAUAAAUAAGGGGACAACCCCAUGUAUUUUGUAGCCAAGUUCGUCUUGGUUCAGCUAAAAUCUAGCACCCAACUUGUUAAA
rnacentral:lncRNA from 1 species